rnacentral:pre_miRNA from 1 species
CAUGCACUCAGGGGGGUCCCUCAACCUGGAUUGCGAGAGGGUGCAGGCCAGGCUGAGAGACCCCACCGGUGCACA